GACGUACCGUCCUAACGUUGUUCGGAAUCACUGGGCUUAAAGGGCGCGUAGGCGGCUUGCCAAGUCAGGGGUGAAAUCCUGCAGCUUAACUGUAGAAGGGCCUUUGAUACUGGCGAGCUCGAGGGAGGUAGGGGUAUGUGGAACUUCCGGUGGAGCGGUGAAAUGCGUUGAUAUCGGAAGGAACGCCGGUGGCGAAAGCGACGUACUGGACCUCUUCUGACGCUGAGGCGCGAAAGCUAGGGGAGCAAACGGG
rnacentral:rRNA from 1 species